rnacentral:rRNA from 1 species
UACGUAGGGUCCGAGCGUUGUCCGGAAUUACUGGGCGUAAAGCGCGCGCAGGUGGUCUUUCAAGUCAGUGGUGAAAGCCCGGAGCUCAACUCCGGAAAUGCCAUUGAAACUGUAAGACUUGAGGAUGAGAGAGGUGAGUGGAAUUCCCAGUGUAGAGGUGAAAUUCGUAGAUAUUGGGAAGAACACCGGUGGCGAAGGCGGCUCACUGGCUCAUAUCUGACGCUCAGGCGCGACAGCGUGGGGAGCAAACAGG